CUUUCAGAGCUGGAGUGUUUUCGUCCAUUCGGACAACAUGACCUAGCCAGCGUAGCCGCUGUCUUUUACCUACAUUAAUGUCUUCGUACUACUGUGAUCAAACUGAAAGGUGAAUUUUGUCCAUUUCAUCUUCUUUAAAGUAAUCCCCUCCCGUUACAAUACACUUAUGCUUACAGAUUUUCCAGUCAUCAUAGCACUUGGAAAAGCCUCCGUCGUGAUGGCCAACAGAGCCUCCUUCGAUUCAACUUUUAUGUCCUCAAUUGAGUCAAAACGGUGUCCGAAGGAGCGGUCAUGUGAAUUUGCUGAAUAGCCUGAAGUUACACGAACGUAAAUUAGGCGAAUGCCGUGGUUGCGGCACGAUAUUAGUUGAAAAUGUGCGAAGUGAUCACGAAUAACAAAUGCAGUAUGAGAUGGUGCAUUAUCGCAAUUCUUUGUUCAAUAAAUUCAGACAUGAUAAAAAUCGAAGAAUUCACUUUUAGAGCCUCACAAAACGGCGCGCAUCUCAAAUACUAAUGAAUAUUUUGACGUGAAGCAUAGAUGUCACUAACAGUACUACCAACUUACAGAAAAAACAAAUGUCUCAAUUCGAAAAACUCGCGAAGUAUAUGUAAAUUAACCACCAUUCAAUUGAUCACAGUAGUAUAUCUCAUACAGCUCAUCGUUCCAUCGAAUGCGAUAUUCGCCGUGGUCCACACGCAAAGGGCCAUAAAUCUUCCCCAGAACCCUUCUCUCGAAAACUCGUAACGUCGACUCAUCAUGCUUCUGCAUCGUAUAGCAAGGUCAAAAGUAGCACCUGUUGGCAAAACUUAUUCUGCGUUGAAUUUCGAGGCUGACAUUAUUGUUUCUGUUAAUGCUGGUUUCAAGAUAGACAAAAUUAUCUACAACUUCAAAGUUAUGAGUGUCAACAGUGACGUGAGAGCCUAGUCGCAAGUGCAUCGACUGUUUGUUUGAUGACAGGAGAUAUAUCAUCUUGCCCUCGUUCACUACCAAACUCAUUUGUUUGCUUCCUUAUCCAGUCUGAAGAAAGCAGAAUAACGGCGUGGCCAAUCAAUAUCAAUAUCACCAGCAUAUGCCAGCAGCUGUACACUCUUAUAAAAGAUUGUACCUUCUCGAUUAAGUUCUGCAGCUCGAAUUAUUUUCUCCAGAAGCAGGUUGAAGAAGGUGCACGAUAGGGAGUCGCCACUGUUACCUUAAUGGCUGCAACCUCGGCUUGGAAACACUGCAAUAGUCAGGAACAAUGAAACUGGAGUUGAUAGAGAGCUUCUGACAGUAAACUCCUUCAUAAACCUUUCCCCCAAGCUUUGACCCAUCCGUAAAGAAGCUCACUGCGUCACUCCUCCAACGGAUUCUUUCUAUUCACAAGCUGCCAGAAUUCGGUUUGGCGACUUCAAAAUCCAAGUGUUCCUGUAUGAAGUCAAAGUGUGUGAGGAUUUUUGAGUGUUCAGACAUGUGCUCAUUUAGCAAUCCAGAUUCUCUGAGUCUGAUAACAACUUUCGCAGUCGCACACAAAAUGGCGUUAAGUGACAUAGUUGGAGUGAACCUCAGUGUAACCCACAUGCUGAUGUGUGUGAUGAAGUGUGGUAAUUAUGAGAAUAACGACUCCAUAGAACAUAAUGGGAUUGGUGACACCUUUUUCCAACGGCUCCAGAAAAAGAUAAGAUAAUUUCUUUAGAGUUCAAGACUUCAUCGCUAUAUCAUUUAAACAAUUCAUCAAUAUUUUAUACUAAUUAUUUUGUCAUCUUUUCGCAGGUGCAUUCGUAGCCAUGACGGCAUUUUCAAUAUCUAUUGUUCACUCAAGGAAGCAUUAAGUCUAAACCAGAAACAGAACAAAUGAUUUUGAACAAGAAUGAAUUAUAAUUUAUUUUCUUAAUUUAUUUUUGUAAAUUGUUUUCUACAACUUUAGAUUUUGUUCAAAUUCUUCAAUAAAAUGUAAAUACUAUUAACAUGGCUAUAAUUCGUAAAUUGAAAUCCCUUAAUCUUCGAUAUAUUUCCUGUGCAUUUAGUGGUAUUGCUUCUGCAUUAUUGAUUGGUGGAAAGACACUGCCUAUAAAUCUGAUGGAAAAUAUAGUACUGAUUAUAUAAAAAUAGUAGUGUUAAUACCUCAAUGAAGUUUUAUUCAAUACCUUACCACUGCAUCAAGAGACAAUUAUUUCAUUCUGAUUUUCUUUUAAUAUUUUUAAGCCUUAUAUUCUAUUUUGGAAAUCUUACGUAUCUAAUUAAAUAUAUGUAUAUUUUGGUAUGUACUGCACACCACAUGGGAUCCCUGCCAGCGGUUAAAAAACUGGUGAAACAGUAGGUAGUAAAUUUGUGAAAAAGAUGUAAAUUUUGAUAGUGAUCCUGAGGAAUGGAGUUCAGUAAGGUCUCUUAAUUUUUCUUCAAAUUGCAGCGAUAGCUAUGUUAGUGUUUGGAAUAAUAGUGAUAGCGAAAUUUUAAAAGUGAUACAAAAUAAUACAUUUAGUUUAGAAUUAAAAGCUUUAAGAAAUAGGGUAUUCCACAAUCCAAUAACCGAUCUUCUGCAAACGUUGCGAAAAAUAGGUUGUGCUGGUUUACCUCUAACGGCUAAAAGUCUCUUAGGUACCAUCCGAUAAAAGUAAAUAUUCAAACAAUUCCAAGUGGAUCUUUUUUAUAUAGAGGAAUUCAAAAUCAUUUUGAGAAAAAUUCAUUUCCUCAACUUCAAAAUAAAAACAAUAUUGUGUUUGAUGUGGAAAUAGAUAGCCUCAAAUUAUUCAAGAAUUCGAAUAGAGUAUUGUGGCCUAUUCUAGCAUCCAUAGUUGAUUUUCCAAACGAAUUGUCGCUUAUAAUUGCAUCAAUGAUUUUUUAAAAGAAUUUUGUGAAGAAGUAAAUUAUUUAAAAAAAAAAUUGGUUUUCAGGUUGGUAUUUAUCCUGUAAAGAAGAAACUUGACAUUCUUUUGUUUUGCUGCGAUGCUCCCGCUCGAGCUUUUGCUACAGAUGUGCAGUCGCACACUGGAAAAAGUAGUUGUUCUAAAUGUGAAAGGAGAGUUUGUUUUUCAAAACAAAUAAAACGUUAAGAACUGACCAAUCUUUUAAAAAUAGAAGUAAUAGAUCACAUCACAUUAAUCCUUUUAAAUUUAGAGAAAGCAUUUUAGAGUCAGGAAAUUUCAAAAUGAUUUCCCAAUUUCCUUUAGACCCAAUGCACCUUGUAGAUCUUGGUGUAUGUAAAAAGUUGCAUCUAUUGUUGAUUAAAAUAGGCAACAUAAACAUAAGCAAAGUUAACGAAAAAAUAACAUUUCUCUCCAAUUUAUUUCCUUUAAAGUUCGGUCAAAUAGGUAGAAGUUUAGAAAAAAUCAGCAAUUGGAAAGCGACAGAGUUUAGGCAUUUCUUAUUGUAUAUAGGUAUAUUUGUUAUAAAGGAUUGCAUUGGUUAUGACCAUUACUACAAUUUCCUCUUAUUACAAAACGGAGACCAUUUAGUUAGUUGCAAUAUACAGUACUUUUCGGAUAUAAGCCCCCCGGUUAAAAGAUUUCCCCGCUUAUAAGGAAAUAAAAUCAGGUCACAAAAAAUUCCACAUAAGCAAUAUACAGAACAAUCCCCGGUUAAUGUGUUCCCCUUUUAAAAGGUCUCCCCGCUUAUAAUAUUGAAAAUGUGUGAGCCAUUUAAAGAAAUCCAUACGAAAAUCUCCGGAUAUAAGAAUGAAAAAUCUGACAACACUUAACACCAAGACUUCGUUUUUUAAAAAAAUGUAAUUUUUUAAGACUUCGUUCUGUGCAAAAUUUUUUCAAGCAUGAGCGACAAAGAUCUCAUUUCUUCCUUACAUUUUUAUGUUUUGUUUUUUUAUAUGAAGUUUACUUUUGUUUUUUUCUGUUCACUAUGUAGUGAUGAAUACAUAUACUUAAGUACUUUUAAAAAGUAUCUAAUAAAUAUUUACAUACACGUAGCUUAAAAAAGUAGUUGUUUCAUAUGUGCACUUUUAUAUAAGGCUCAAAAGGUGCAUAAAGCGGGAUUUUCAUAUAAGCCCCAAAAGUGCUAUUAACCGGGGUUUUCAUAUAAGACUUCCCCGGAUAAAGUGUUCCAAUUUUGAGCAUUUCGCUCGGCUCUUAUAUCCGAAAAAUACUGUACAUGUUUUACUCCAUUUAACUGACUGUACCAAGCAAUAUGGUCCUCUAGAUAACUUUUCCGCUUACAAGUUUGAAAAUCACAUGCAGUAUGUAAAAAAAACUUAUAAAUAAGCCUAAUAAAAUCCUGCAGCAAUAACAUUUUAGGCUUGAAGAAAGAAAUAUUGCAGAUUUUACUUGCAAUAAAAUAUCCAAAAUUAAAUCAUUCAAUUUAGAUUUUAAAAAAGAAAAAGACUUUUUGUUUUAGUAAAAAAUUAGGUCCCAUAAAAGUAACAUGCAUGACAAAGGAAUCUGGUAUCGCUAUUUUAUCGGCACAUUGUUUCUUGGGUGUUGAAAAGUACUUUCAAGAACCUUUGGAAUCGUCUUUUGGUUUAGGUAUUUUGGCAAUAAAAUUACAUCCACAUUUGUUUAAAAUAGAAAAAGACGAUACAGUUUAUAACUAUUUUUCUAUUCCACAUGAGAACAAGUUUCUUCUAAUUCCCAUUUUACAUCAUUUAUUUCAUUAAUUGCAAAUUACUAUUUUUCACUGAAAUUAUUACAUUUUCCCGACUGUAUUUUAAUAUAUUAUGUUAAGUUAUUUAAAAUGAAUUUUGAUGCUGCCAAAUUUUUAUUACUCAAUCAGAUGGAUUCACCAGCGCUAUUCGAUGAAAUUUAUUUGGAGGAAUGCCCGAAAACGUCUUCGACUUCCGUAAAAGGUAUAUGUAAAAUUGUAAUUUUAGUUUUUAAUUUAUUUUUACGCCUUUGUUAUUGUAAAACAAUUGACAUUAAAACGGAAGAAGUUCAAUAUUUCUGGUUACUACAACUCAGAGGCAAGCUUCUCAAAGCAACAAGUAAACAAUUUACCUGUGGAUGGAAACGACUAUUUCCAUCCAACAAGAAGAUUUGACUUCAAGUGUUGGUAAUAUAGAAAAAAAGAUGGACAGCUUUUCGAAAGAAAAUGUAAGUUUUUGUCCAUACAAGUUUUUAUUCUCUAACUGCACUUGUUCUCUUUUCAGAUAAUUCAUAAAGCGAGGAAAUAGCCCAACAAAAGACCGUCCGUGAAUGUUAGGUGCUAAUUCGAAUUUUUUUUCAAUUUGCAGAAACAGUUUAUUUUAAGGAUGAAAGGCAGUUCAGACAGUGUAUGUGAUGUGCUGCGGCACCUAUUCACUGACGAAUUCCUUAUUUUGUGUAACUCUACUGUCCAACAUAUUAUAUGAUUCUUUCUUCACUUUUGGGCUUGCAAAUUUCUAACAACGAAUUCGGAAGUCCAUCGAAAUGAGCCACCAUAGAUUUAAGCAAAAAAAUAUAUAGGAAGGGAAGAGCUGAGACAUCAUAAUAUUAUAAUAAUUUUUUAGAUAUAAGUAUGUAUGCAUAUUGCAUAUGGAUGUGCAUAUGGAUAUUAUUUUUUGUAUAUGUAUAUAUAAUAAAUUUUAUAUAUUAUAUGUAUGUAGAAAUAAUUUUUAAAUUAUUAAAAAAAAUGU